CCUACGGGUGGCAGCAGUGAGGAAUAUUGGUCAAUGGUCGGAAGACUGAACCAGCCAUGCCGCGUGCAGGAAGAAUGCCUUAUGGGUUGUAAACUGCUUUUAUAUAGGGAGAAUAAGGAGUACGUGUACUCUGAUGACGGUACUAUAUGAAUAAGCAUCGGCUAACUCCGUGCCAGCAGCCGCGGUAAUACGGAGGAUGCGAGCGUUAUUCGGAAUCAUUGGGUUUAAAGGGUCUGUAGGCGGGCUAUUAAGUCAGGGGUGAAAUCUUACAGCUUAACUGUGAAAUUGCCUUUGAUACUGGUAGUCUUGAAUAUUUGUGAAGUUUUUGGAAUGUGUAGUGUAGCGGUGAAAUGCUUAGAUAUUACACAGAACACCGAUUGCGAAGGCAGGAGACUAACAAAUGAUUGACGCUGAGAGACGAGAGCGUGGGGAGCGAACAGGAUUAGAUACCCUUGUAGUC
rnacentral:rRNA from 1 species